GCGGAAGUUAGAUAUGAGCAUCACUUCAAACAUUACUAUGUACAAAUUCAUCUGAGUGAAUUGUUCCAGCUUUUCAAUCUGCGCGAGCUCGACAAAUCUAUCAUCAGUUGCUACGUUCUGUAAGUGAUUUAUUUCUACCCCAUCUCGUUCAUAUUGCCUGCACUAUAUAUAUGUCCUAACUAUAUUGUUGUGUCCGCUAUUAUACAUGCAGAAUGAAGAUUAAGGAAUGCAGAGUAAGGAACAUCCAUGAUGUUGGGUUCAUUGACCCACACAUCGUUAAUGGAUAUGUGUUGGAGCAUCACCCCACCGACAUGGAGGCAGACCUGUGGCAGUUUCUUACAAAGCAGGAACUCAAAAGUGAUAUUCUAUUUCCUUACCAUUUUGGGUGAGUGUUUCUGUCUUGAGCACAUUCUCUUUUGUUUACUCCAUGCAUGGUAUGUGGCCGGCUAAUCGAUGAGUUAUGC
rnacentral:rRNA from 1 species